rnacentral:rRNA from 1 species
GUCAGUAGCGAUAGAACGUUAAAUGCACCAGUUCCCAGUGUUUCGCUGAAGUUAAACAACGUUGCGCGUGGUUGGUAUCCAGAUGGGUGACCAUGUGGGCAAUCGCAUACUGGCU